rnacentral:rRNA from 1 species
UUCAACGGCCGCGGUACCCUAACCGUGCGAAGGUAGCGUAAUCACUUGUCUACCAAAUAUAGACCAGUAUGAAAGGCCCCACGAGGGUUACACUGUCUCCCAACUUCAAUCAGUUAAACUGAUCCCCCCGUGAAGAAGCGGGGAUAUAAUUAUAAGACGAGAAGACCCCAUGGAGCUUCAAACUAAAAAUCAACUGCUAAAUCAAAUACCCCUAAAAUACAGCAGCUAUGACCUUAAAGUUUUCGGCUGGGGCGACCACGGAGUAUAACAAAACCUCCAAGUUGAAAGAACAUUAAAUUCUUACCAAAGAGCCACAUCCCAAAGGACCAUAAUUGUGACAUCUCUUGACCCAAACCACUUGAUCAACGAACCUAGUUACCCUGGGGAUAACAGCGCAAUCCAUUUCAAGAGCCCCUAUCGACAAAUGGGUUUACGACCUCGA